UAGGAUUCCCUCAGUAGCUGCGAGCGAACAGGGAAAAGCCCAGCACCGAAUCCCGCGGCCGAUACCGGACGCCGGGAAAUGUGGUGUUAGGGAGGAUCCGUUUAUCCCGAGAUCGUGCGGUGCGUCCAAGUCCUUCUUGAACGGGGCCACAGCCCAUAGAGGGUGCCAGGCCCGUAGCGACCUCCGCCUAUUUCGGGAGGAUCUCUCCUCAGAGUCGGGUUGCUUGAGAGUGCAGCCCUAAGUGGGUGGUAAACUCCAUCUAAGGCUAAAUAUGACCACGAGACCGAUAGCGAACAAGUACCGUGAGGGAAAGUUGAAAAGCACUUUGAAGAGAGAGUUCAAGAGUACGUGAAACCGUUCAGGGGUAAACCUGAGAAACCCGAAAGGUCGAAUGGGGAAAUUCAUUCGCGUUUCGGCCGUCGGCUGCGUACGGUAGUCGUGACGGGCGGUCUUCGGAUCGUUCCGCACCUGCCGUUCGUUGGACUGGCGUCGAACGCGUGCACUUUUCCCCUAGUAGGACGUCGCGAUCCGUUGGGUGUCGGUCUAAGGCCCGCGGUGGAGCCCUGUUGGAGUCUUCGGACGUCGAUAGGACCCGCGGUGGCCCGACCGACUCGCUCGACGGUAUACAGAUGGCGCGGAGCCGCGACUUGUUCGCGUCCGGCCCGUGGCAAGCGCGCCUUGUGCGUCGGAGAUCGGACCUAGUGCCGUUCCUGACCCUCGGUGACUGUUGGCUGCGGUGCUCUCGGACAGACUUCGAAACGCCGAUCUGCGACGCUAUAGCUUUGGGUACUUUCAGGACCCGUCUUGAAACACGGACCAAGGAGUCUAGCAUGUGCGCGAGUCAUUGGGACACGACUAAACCUAAAGGCGUAAUGAAAGUAAAGGUCCGCCUUGCGCGGACCGAGGGAAGAUGGGCGGUCCUUUGUGGCCGCCCCGCACUCCCGGGGCGUCUCGUUCUCAUUGCGAGAAGAGGCGCACCAAGAGCGUACACGCUGGGACCCGAAAGAUGGUGAACUAUGCCUGGUCAGGACGAAGUCAGGGGAAACCCUGAUGGAGGUCCGUAGCGAUUCUGACGUGCAAAUCGAUCGUCGGAACUGGGUAUAGGGGCGAAAGACUAAUCGAACCAUCUAGUAGCUGGUUCCCUCCGAAGUUUCCCUCAGGAUAGCUGGCGCUCAAUAAUUCGAGUCUCAUCCGGUAAAGCGAAUGAUUAGAGGCAUUGGGGUCGAAACGACCUCAACCUAUUCUCAAACUUUAAAUGGGUGAGAUCUCCGGCUUGCUCGAACUCAUGAAGCCGCGAGACACGGAUCAGAGUGCCAAGUGGGCCAUUUUUG
rnacentral:rRNA from 1 species